AUUGAUUUCAAGAAUAAGUGCAAUGUGGGGUAUGCAUUUAUCAAUAUGAUUUCCCCAAGCCAGAUAAUUCCAUUCUAUCAGGUGUUUAAUGGAAAGAAAUGGGAGAAGUUCAAUAGUGAAAAGGUGGCAUCACUUGCAUAUGCUCGCAUACAAGGAAAAGCUGCUCUUAUUGCACAUUUCCAGAAUUCAAGCUUGAUGAAUGAGGAUAAACGAUGCCGACCCAUUCUAUUCAACACUGAUGGCCCCAAUGCUGGUGAUCAGGUGCCCUUUCCAAUGGGGGUUAAUGUUCGAACUAGACCUGGGAAACCUAAAACCAUCACGCAUGAGGAAAACGAGCAAGGAGGUCCACCAAAUUUGGCAAACAGGGAGGAUUCCUUGAAUGGGGAUGCUUCAUCAAGGUCUGGGAAGGAUUCUGACUGAGGAAGCCACCUAUUUUUUAGGGCAACUAACCCCAUAGGAUUGAGUAAUUUAAGAUUGGUACGUCCCCAAGUCUUUGAUUAAAUAUAUUGGGGUGGCUGAUUGAAAACAAACACAUUUUUCUGCUUUUGGGAAGCCUCUUAAAAUUUUAGGGAAAACAAUUCAUCGCCAGAACAAAAAUGAGAUUCUGAUUGGCUUCGGUUUCCUUUAAAUUAUGGAAUCAUCAGAAAAAAGAAGCAUGAGGGUGAAGCUUCAAAAUUUUGGAUGUUCUUGAGAGUAAUAAAGUAGAUGCAUAGGAGUUUCUGAGCAACGAGGGAUCUUUCAUUGAG
rnacentral:misc_RNA from 1 species